GUGGGGAAUCUUGCGCAAUGGGCGAAAGCCUGACGCAGCCAUGCCGCGUGAAUGAUGAAGGUCUUAGGAUUGUAAAAUUCUUUCACCGGGGACGAUAAUGACGGUACCCGGAGAAGAAGCUCCGGCUAACUUCGUGCCAGCAGCCGCGGUAAUACGAAGGGGGCUAGCGUUGCUCGGAAUUACUGGGCGUAAAGGGCGCGUAGGCGGAUCGUUAAGUCAGGGGUGAAAUCCCAGAGCUCAACUCUGGAACUGCCCUUGAUACUGGCGAUCUUGAGUGUGAGAGAGGUAUGUGGAACUCCGAGUGUAGAGGUGAAAUUCGUAGAUAUUCGGAAGAACACCAGUGGCGAAGGCGACAUACUGGCUCAUUACUGACGCUGAGGCGCGAAAGCGUGGGGAGCAAACAGGAUUAGAUACCCUGGUAGUCC
rnacentral:rRNA from 1 species